rnacentral:lncRNA from 1 species
CCCCCCAAAUGAUUACUAAUUUUUUCAUGAACUUUUCGAAGGGCAUAAUUAGUUUCUGACUAUCGCAAGCAUCGAAAUAAUGAAAAUAAAUAUGAUCCAAUCAUAUUGAGUAACAUACCAUGGAGCUUAUCUUUUAAUCCUCCUUGCUUCCAUAGGAUUGACUAGUAAAACAUCCUUAGUAAUAUAAUCCAUCAAUGGAUCAAUCCAACUAGGCUCGUGAUCGAUUUGUACAAUCGAUCAAGUUUCUAUAUUGGGCCUUUUAAGAAUAUCAAUGAGAACUUUUUGAUUCAAUUUGAAAAAACUUGACGUAGUAAAAUGUGAGAGAGCAUCA